rnacentral:rRNA from 1 species
UGUGGUCAAGUUUCUAAGAGCAAACGGUGGAUGCCUUGGCAUCUGGAGCCGAAGAAGGACGUAGAAAUCUGCGAUAAGCCUCGGGGAGCUGAUAAUCGAGCCCUGAUCCGAGGAUUUCCGAAUGGGGAAACCCCGCUGGGCGCUUUUGUGACCUGGUGACUCCCGCCUGAAUAUAUAGGGCGGGUAGAGGGAACGUGGGGAAGUGAAACAUCUCAGUACCCACAGGAAGAGAAAACAACAUGUGAUUCCGUGAGUAGUGGCGAGCGAAAGCGGAUGAGGCUAAACCGAUCAUGUGUGAUAGCCGGCGGGCGUUGCAUGGUCGGGGUUGUGGGACACGUCACUCAGUUCUGCCGGACUGGGGCGGUUACAGCGCAUCAUAGUCGAACCGGUUUGAAAGCCGGGCCGUAGUGGGUGCCAGCCCCGUAGACGAAAUGGUGUUAUGGCCGGAUGUGUAUCCCAAGUAGCACGGGGCCCGAGAAAUCCCGUGUGAAUCUGUCAGGACCACCUGAUAAGCCUAAAUACUCCCAGAUGACCGAUAGCGGACAAGUACCGUGAGGGAAAGGUGAAAAGUACCCCGGGAGGGGAGUGAAAUAGUACCUGAAACCGUUUGCUUACAAACCGUCGGAGCCUCCUUAGUAGGGGUGACGGCGUGCCUUUUGAAGAAUGAGCCUGCGAGUUAGUGAUAUGUGGCGAGGUUAACCCGUGUGGGGCAGCCGUAGCGAAAGCGAGUCUGAAUAGGGCGUUUGAGUCGCAUGUUCUAGACCCGAAGCGAAGUGAUCUAUCCAUGGCCAGGUUGAAGCGACGGUAAGACGUCGUGGAGGACCGAACCCACUUCAGUUGAAAAUGGAGGGGAUGAGCUGUGGAUAGGGGUGAAAGGCCAAUCAAACUUCGUGAUAGCUGGUUCUCUCCGAAAUGCAUUUAGGUGCAGCGUUGCGUGUUUCUCGCCGGAGGUAGAGCUACUGGAUGGCCGAUGGGCCUCAACAGGUUACUGACGUCAGCCAAACUCCGAAUGCCGGUGAGUGAGAGCGCAGCAGUGAGACGGUGGGGGAUAAGCUUCAUCGUCGAGAGGGAAACAACCCAGACUACCAACUAAGGUCCCUAAGCGUGUGCUAAGUGGGAAAGGAUGUGGAGUUGCAUAGACAACCAGGAGGUUGGCUUAGAAGCAGCCACCCUUGAAAGAGUGCGUAAUAGCUCACUGGUCAAGUGAUUCCGCGCCGACAAUGUAACGGGGCUCAAGCACACCACCGAAGUUGUAGAUUUCGCACACUCGACAAGCCUUCGUGGUUCAGUCGUGCGGAGUGGUAGGAGAGCGUCGUGUGGCGAGUGAAGCGGCGGAGUGAUCCAGCCGUGGACGCUACACGAGUGAGAAUGCAGGCAUGAGUAGCGAAAGACGGGUGAGAAACCCGUCCUCCGAAAGACCAAGGGUUCCAGGGCCAGGUUAAUCCGCCCUGGGUAAGUCGGGACCUAAGGCGAGGCCGACAGGCGUAGUCGAUGGACAACGGGUUGAUAUUCCCGUACCGGCGAACAACCGCCCAAGCUAAUCCAGUGGUGCUAAGAGUCCUAACCCGGAUCAACCGGAUCCCUUCGGGGUGAUGGUGGCCGGUCUAACGCUCGACCCCAUGCUGGUGCGGUUAGCGUAUGAACAGGUGUGACGCAGGAAGGUAGCUGAGCCAGGCGAUGGUAUCCGUAAGGUGAACCUGGUGUAAGGAUGUAGGGCUGACGAUAGGCAAAUCCGUCGUCUGUACGCCUGAGAUCCGACGCGUACCCGUAAGGGGAAAUCAGUGAUCCUAUGCUGCCGAGAAAAGCAUCGACGCGAGGUUGCAGCCGCCCGUACCCGAAA